rnacentral:rRNA from 1 species
UACGUAGGGGCCUAGCGUUGUCCGGAAUUAUUGGGCGUAAAGAGCUCGUAGGCGGCUCGGUAAGUCGGAUGUGAAACCUCCAGGCUCAACCUGGAGACGCCAUCUGAUACUGCCGUGGCUUGAGUCCGGUAGAGGAGCAGGGAAUUCCUGGUGUAGCGGUGAAAUGCGCAGAUAUCAGGAGGAACACCAGCGGCGAAGGCGCUGCUCUGGGCCGGUACUGACGCUGAGGAGCGAAAGCGUGGGGAGCGAACAGG